rnacentral:rRNA from 1 species
CAGGCCUAACACAUGCAAGUCGAGGGGCAGCGCGGAGUAUCAAUACUUUGGCGGCGACCGGCGCACGGGUGAGUAACACGUAUGCAACCAACCCAUAACAGGGGGAUAACCCGGAGAAAUCCGGACUAAUACCGCAUAAGACCACGAUAUCGCAUGAUAUAGAGGUCAAAUAUUUAUAGGUUAUGGACGGGCAUGCGUCUGAUUAGCUGGUUGGCGGGGUAACGGCCCACCAAGGCAUCGAUCAGUAGGGGUUCUGAGAGGAAGGUCCCCCACAUUGGAACUGGGACACGGCCCAGACUCCUACGGGAGGCAGCAGUGAGGAAUAUUGGACAAUGGAUGGAAAUCUGAUCCAGCCAUGCCGCGUGCAGGAAGACGGCCCUAUGGGUUGUAAACUGCUUUUAUACGGGAGCAAUAAGGUCUACGUGUAGACUGAUGAGAGUACCGUAUGAAUAAGCAUCGGCUAACUCCGUGCCAGCAGCCGCGGUAAUACGGAGGAUGCGAGCGUUAUCCGGAUUUAUUGGGUUUAAAGGGUGCGUAGGCGGCCUUGUAAGUCAGCGGUGAAAUUUUGCAGCUUAACUGUAAAAGUGCCGUUGAUACUGUGAGGCUAGGAUUUGGUUGCUGUGGGUGGAAUGUGUGGUGUAGCGGUGAAAUGCUUAGAGAUCACACAGAAUAUCGAUUGCGAAGGCAGCUCACAAAGCCAAGAUUGACGCUGAGGCACGAAAGUGUGGGGAUCAAAGGGCAUUAGAUUCCCUGGUAGUCCACACUGUAAACGAUGAUAACUCGCUGUCGGCGAUAUACAGUCGGUGGCCAAGCGAAAGCGAUAAGUUAUCUACCUGGGGAGUACGACCGCAAGGUUGAAACUCAAAGGAAUUGACGGGGGCCCGCACAAGCGGAGGAACAUGUGGUUUAAUUCGAUGAUACGCGAGGAACCUUACCCGGGCUCGAACGGUGCAGGAAUAUGGUAGAGAUAUCAUAGCUAGCAAUAGUCUGUAUCGAGGUGCUGCAUGGUUGUCGUCAGCUCGUGCCGUGAGGUGUCGGCUUAAGUGCCAUAACGAGCGCAACCCUUGUCAUUAGUUGCCAUCAGGUCAAGCUGGGGACUUUAAUGAGACUGCCACCGUAAGGUGUGAGGAAGGGGGGGAUGACGUCAAAUCAGCACGGCCCUUAUGUCCGGGGCGACACACGUGUUACAAUGGGAGGUACAGAGGGCAGCUAUCCGGUGACGGAAUGCUAAUCUCCAAAACCUUUCUCAGUUCGGAUUGGAGUCUGCAACUCGACUCCAUGAAGGUGGAUUCGCUAGUAAUCGCGCAUCAGCCAUGGCGCGGUGAAUACGUUCCCGGGCCUUGUACACACCGCCCGUCA